AGAGUUUGAUCAUGGCUCAGGACGAACGCUGACGGUGUGCUUUAGACAUGCAAGUCGAACGAGAAAGCCCUUCGGGGUGAGUACAGUGGCGAACGGGUGAGUAACACGUGGGCAAUCUGCCCCUCGCAGGGGGACAACCGGGGGAAACCCCGGCUAAUACCCCGUACGCUUACGGAGCCGCAUGGGUCCGUAAGGAGAGGUAGCUUCGGCCAUCCGGCGAGGGAUGAGCCCGCGGUGCAUUAGCUAGUUGGUGAGGUAACGGCUCACCAAGGCGACGAUGCAUAGCUGGUCUGAGAGGACGAUCAGCCACACUGGGACUGAGACACGGCCCAGACUCCUACGGGAGGCAGCAGUUAGGAAUCUUGCGCAAUGGGCGAAAGCCUGACGCAGCAACGCCGCGUGGGGGAUGAAGGCCCUCGGGUUGUAAACCCCUUUCAGUCGGGACGAAAAUGACGGUACCGACAGAAGAAGCCCCGGCCAACUACGUGCCAGCAGCCGCGGUGACACGUAGGGGGCAAGCGUUGUCCGGAUUUAUUGGGCGUAAAGGGCUCGUAGGCGGUUCGACAAGUCGGGUGUGAAACCUCCAGGCUCAACCUGGAGUCGCCGCUCGAAACUGUUGUGACUAGAGUCCGGUAGAGGAGCAUGGAAUUUGUGGUGUAGCGGUGGAAUGCGCAGAUAUCACAAGGAACACCAGUAGCGAAGGCGAUGCUCUGGGCCGGUACUGACGCUGAGGAGCGAAAGCAUGGGGAGCGAACAGGAUUAGAUACCCCCGUAGUCC
rnacentral:rRNA from 1 species